UUCUUGUUGGAAACUUGUCUUCAAAGACCCCCAGAGCGGGGAGACCCUCACUCAAGUCUCGGGAUGAUGCGACCCCCCAAGAACUCAUGUGAGACC
rnacentral:pre_miRNA from 14 species